rnacentral:lncRNA from 1 species
UUUUAAUUCACCAAUUCUGAAAAAUUAUGACAGUCUGAAGAAUUUGCGUAGCAAUCAGCAGCAAAAAGAAUCAACUCAAAACCUCUUACAGAAAAAAUGCAAAUUCUUUUCGUGAGCAGAAAGUUUCUGUCUUUUCCAGCAUGACCAAACGAUCAUCCCCAAGACUAAUCAUAACGGUUUUGCUUGGCACAAACGCAAAAAGAAACACAAAAAACACAAUCAUAAUAGAAUUAUGAAGUGUGGAA